rnacentral:lncRNA from 1 species
GCUGGCAUAUCACUAGUCGACUUAACCCAACUUGAACAACCUUUCUAUUCCAGGUACGUGUACAAGUAUGUAUAUCCUUUUACAAUAUGCAAAUCAUGCAUUUAGAUACCAUAACGUGAUACAAUGACAUUGAUCAAUCAUAAGCUUAUAAAGCAUGCAUGCAUGAGCGAGGGAGCCCAUGCAAACGCCUGACAUAUGAACUGUAACAGUGCGCGCGUAUGACAUGCAAUAGCUACGAGUAAAUCGAUGGAUAGAUGGAUCACAUGGGGCAGGUGAAGUUGGCGGGGCACUUCUUGCCGCACUGGUUGAGUNNNNNNNNNNGGUUCGAUUUGAAAUUGUCCAUUAAGAUGAAACCAAUAUAGGAUUUAAUCUUCCCAGCCACACGAUGCGGAUGAUGCAAAUUCUCACCAUUUCUUAUAUUAUUUCUUUUAUCCGAGAUGUGCCAUAUAGCCACAGUAAAGUACAAUGCGUGAAGAUCUGGUGCAACAUUUAUCCAUUCUAGCAAUCAUUGAUGAAUAUUGAUAAACCUUUUUAGAUUUAGCACGAUAUGAAAAGACCUUUCAUAGUUUGCCCAAAAAUUCUUUGACAUAAUGGGAAAAGAAGAAACAAUGUUCCACAGUCUCAACUCUAUUACAGAUAAAACACUCAUACCUCGUAGGAAAUGUUCCACAGUUUCAUCAAUGUUCCUCACCAGUAGGUAAAAAAUUACGAACCAUUCUCCAUAAGAUGAUCUUCAUUCUAUUUGGACUUUGUAUUUCGAGUUUUUGCUCUAUAUUUUUCCUGUUUCCUCCAUGUUCGAGGCUGAUCCUCUUCCAUCAGAGCUCUAGUACAUCCAGAACGAUAAGGAUUUUGCAAGGUUAUACCGAGACAAUAUAGUGUAGGUGCCUCCAUUCGUGUAUGGCCAUGAUGCGAAAUCUCAGCACCCUUAUGAACUUAGAGGGAUCUUUAGGAUCUUUACAACCAGGUUUUUUGGAAACAUUUCACUAACAACCACACUGUUUCAUGAUUUACCAUCAGUUAAAAACAAAUGGUUCGCAGUCUUAUCCUCCUCCACCGGGAAAUUUGUACAAAGUAUGCCACGAAAUGAGUGUGGGAUCCAAUUAUCUUAAAUCAAAGAUAUUUGCUUUCCGUCUCCUAAUUGCAAGAAUAAGCCGUUUUGAAGGAGUUUCUUACCAAAUAAUAUGCUGCGCCAUGUGUGGGAAGCUGAUCUUGGGCAUCCUGAUCUCCAAAAAUCUCCAUGCGGGAAAUACCUUCCUUCUAAUACCUUGAAGCAUAAUGAAUUGGGGUUCACUAAGAGCCUACAGCACUGCUUUGCAAGCAUGGCUUGAUUAAAAAUCACCAAGUCCCUGAAUCCCAUUCCUCCAAGAUACUUGGGCGAGGAUAGCCAAUUAGAGGACCUCCAAUGAAUUUUUUCCUCCCAUCUUCCAUUCCCCACCAUACUGGAGAUAGGUCUAUUCAUGUUCUCACAUAUUGAUAUUGGAAUUUGGAAGCAGCACAUUACAUAUGUCCGGAUGGCUUGAGCCACCGACUUUAGAAGUACUUCUCUACCUUCUCUGGAUAACAGUCUUAUCAUUCCACCCAUUUAAUAUCCUCCAUAGCCUCCGAGUGAGGAAAUUAAAAUUGCUUGUUGUAGAGCAUCCCACCCAAGAAGGCAUGCCAAGGUAAGUGGCUUGUAGAGACUCAUCUCGGACUCCUACCAUGUUCUUUACUCGUUCCUUCACCCGAUUGUCACAAUGAUGUCCAAAGAAGAUAUAUGACUUGUGCAAGUUGAUUUUCUGACUAGAGCCUUUGUAGUACGUCUCAAGAGCGAUUUUAAGUAUGUUUGUGCUUCUAUUGUCGCCCUUCACAAAAAAUAUGCUAUCAUCAUCAAAUAAGAGGUGGUAAAUAGGAUNNNNNNNNNNUUGAUGUCCAAAGAAGAUAUAUGACUUGUGCAAGUUGAUUUUCUGACCAGAGCCUUUGUAGUAGGUCUCAAGAGCAAUUUUAAGUAUGUUUGUGCUUCUAUUGUCUCCCGUCACAAAAAAUAUGCUAUCAUCAUCAAAUAAGAGGUGGUAAAUAGGAUGGCCUGCUUUUCUGUUCUUGAUUUCUCUAAUGUCCCUUAUUGCUUCUUUUAACUGUAGAAGACAAGAUAAACCUUCAGGACAUAAUAAAAAUAAGUAUGGGCUGAUGGGAUCACCCUGACAUAUGCCUCUAGUAGGUAUGAAAGGGCCAGUUAAGUUCCCAUUUACUUUGACUGCAUAUUGUAUAGAGGUCACACACCUCAUCACCGAUUCUAACUAGUUUCAAAUAAAGCCAAAUUUAACAAGAACCCCUUUCAAAUAAGGCCAUUCAACUCUAUCAUACACUAGUAGAAAAGAGGGCUUUGGUCCACUUGAUAAAAUCCCAUUAGUCUUGGGCCGACCCAUGUGGGAGGCGGGACACCAAUGUUUUUUUUUUAUAUAUUUCCUUUUUUCUUUUCUGUAUUUGUAUUUUCUAUUUUAAAAUAAUUCAGGAUUACAAAAUGUUUCCAUUUUCAGGAAAUAGAGAAAUAAAAAUAUUUUGAGAAAUCAUAAAUAUUCGUGAAUUCGUGAAAUGUGCAUGUUUUUGAAAAACAUUUGGGAAGUCAUAAAAUUUUCAAAUUUAAAAGAAUUCAUGAUUUUCAAACAAAUCUUUGCAUAUUCAAAGAUCUUUCAUGNNNNNNNNNNGAAAUCCCAUUAGUCUUGGGCCGACCCAUGUGGGAGGCGGGACACCACUGUUUUUUUUAUAUAUUUUUCCUUUUUUUCUUUUCUGUAUUUGUAUUUUCUAUUUUAAAAUAAUUCAAGAUUAUAAAUUUUUUCCAUUUUCAGGAAAUAGAGAAAUAAAAAUAUAUUUGAGAAAUCAUAAAUAUUCGUGAAUUCAUGAAAUGUGCAUGUUUUUUAAAAACAUUUGGGAAGUCAUAAAAUUUUCAAAUUUAAAAUAAUUCAUGAUUUUCAAACAAAUCUUUGCAUAUUCAAAGAUCUUUCAUGAUUUUGAAAAAAAGUCCGGGAAAGAAAUAAAGUGUGUGGGUUCAAAAACAAUUAUUAAAGAUGGAAGAAGUUCAUGAAUUAAAACAAUAUUCACGAUUCUGUAAAAAAUGUCCAUAAAAAAUGUAUUUCAGUUUAAAUUGUCCCUGAAUUUCGAAGUUCAUCNNNNNNNNNNAAAAAGUGUGUGGGUUCAAAAACAAUUCUUAAAGAUGGAAGAAGUUCAUGAAUUAAAACAAUAUUCAUGAUUCUGUAAAAAAUGUCCGUAAAAAAUGUAUUUCAGUUUAAAUUGUCCCUGAAUUUCGAAGUUCAUCAAUUGAAAAGAGGUUUGCUGAAUGAAAGUAUGUUCAUGGUUUUCAAAAACAAAUUUAUUAAAAAAAUUGUGAUCUUCAAAAAGUUUUUCCAAAAUAUAAAAAUAUUUAUCAAUUCAAAACAAUUGGUUUAACUUUAAAAAAAUGUUCAUGAUUUCAAAUAAUGUCCGAGAAUAUGCAAAAAAUACGAAUAUAAAAAAUGUACACGUUUCAAAACAUGUCCAUAAAUUGAAAAAAUGUUUAUGAUUUCCAAAUGUGUUCACAAUUUUGAUAUUUUUUCAAUAUUUGUUUUUUUUGAAAAAGACAGGAAAAUUGAAAUUGGAAAUAAUGAAAAAUAUAAUAAAANNNNNNNNNNUCACGUUUCAAAACAUGUCCAUAAAUUGAAAAAAUAUUCAUGAUUUCGAAAUGUGUUCACAAUUUUGAUUUUUUUUUCAAUAUUUGUUUUUUUAAAAAGACAGGAAAAUUGAAAUUGGAAAUAAUGAAAAAUAUAAUAAAAGGCAAACAAGAAAAAAAAUGAGAAAUGAAAAAUUAAAAUGAAAAUGACAUAAUAAAAGAAAAUCAAAAAUAGAAAAGAAAGUGGAAAAGGAGAAAUACGAAAAUGAGAAAGAUAUAGAAAAAUAAAAAGAAGCAACAAAGAAGAAGAAAAUAAAAACUGACUCAACGAAGGUUCUAGAACUUCCGCCAACUGAAAAGAAAAAAAACUAGACUAGGAUGGUCCAAACGCGGGACAAUCUCGGGAGGGGGCUAUGCACCAGCUUGCUAUAGAGCGACCUACAUGCCAAAUNNNNNNNNNNUACUUCCGCCAACUGAAAGGAAAAAAAAUAGACUAGGAUGGUCCAAACGCGGGACAAUCUCAGGAGGGGGCUAUGCACCAGCUUGCUAUAGAGCGACCUACAUGCCAAAUUGGAACAAGAAAGCAAGACAUAGUCAUGCCACAUACGCUUGGUUGUCUCAUGGCAAUCGACAGGUAGCCCCUUGACUAUGUGCCAAGCCACACAUGUAGGUUGUAUCACUAAAGGCUUAAUUAUUCAGCCCGGCGUCAUCGCGCACUUGAGUAUUUCUUUCCUGUGUGGUCUAGAUGGGCUUGAUUUGUGGUCGUGGAUGACACCGUGAAGACCUCUUAUGGCAAGGCCAAGUGCACCGUACUCAUCCAGGCCUCGUAUGAAUAACCUCUUUUUCCUCUUAAUUCUCUUGUUUUAAUACUUCUCCUAGUUUCUAAUUUCUUCUUGUUUCGAAAUUUCAGACAAGCAUGGCAGGUUUGGGCUUGAUCUGAAGAUUUUCUUCCUCGGACCGUAACAGAAUUUGGUUUGUUCAAGAAGCUCAAGUAAGUCUUCUUUUUACCAGCAAAAGAAAGAAGCUCAUGUAAGUAUUUUUCUUAAGAUCUUUUAACCCAAGAAAGGAUAUGUGUCCUUGUUGCUCAAUCGUUUUUCCGAUCUCCGACUAAGACAUCCUGAUAAGAACGGCGCCCAAAUAUUUCACAUGAACAUGGUUCCUAUAUACAAGCUAUACAUUAUGUUUCAAAAGUAUGACAUAUAUAAAUAUGCCAAGUUCUGUUGCUUUCAUGCUUAGCACNNNNNNNNNNGAUCCUGACAAGAACGGGGCCCAAAUGUUUCACAUGACCAUGGUUCCUAUAUACAAGCUAUACAUUAUGUUUCAAAAAUAUGACAUAUAUAAAUAUGCCAAGUUCUGUUGCUUUCAUGCUUAGCACCUUUGGUUAACACCCCCAGGAUAGCAGGUAUACAUUUUUAACCAGGGUAGUUAUAAUUAAUCUUUUUUGCUUCCGAGCACCCAUUGUAUAUAGAGAGAUUUACACUAGGAUGUCAAUACCAUCUGUAUAUUUUGUUGUUGUUGACACUGCCUUAUCAAACUAAAUAAACAAAAANNNNNNNNNNNNNNNNNNNNNNNNNNNNNNNNNNNNNNNNNNNNNNNNNNNNNNNNNNNNNNNNNNNNNNNNNNNNNNNNNNNNNNNNNNNNNNNNNNNNUCCGACGGCCACCUUCAUGGAUAUGUUCUUGAAUUUCUGAUGAAGUUCACAUGAUGUUGAAUCCUUGAUUCCAUCCACGGGGUAGCCGGGACCGCCCUCUAUCAUUCUUCGUUCAUCGGCGGGCGGGGCCUCAGAUUCAGCCACGCUGCUUUUCCGCUUAGAUGGGGCACCGGUAAUAUCAAGUGCAGGAUCUUCCUGGCGCGGUACUCCUCUAAGCUCAUCAAUCUUCUUCUGUUGCUCGUUAAUCCUGGCAAGCAACUGGUUGAACUUGUCAUUCUCCUCAUCCUGCUUCCGCUUCUGUGCUCUCUCUCGGCUUCUGUAAGUGUCUUGGUCUCUGGCAAACCCAAGCCACCACGGGUAAGAUGGACCGAAGCCUCGCAUUCGUCCUCCAUGUUCGUCAUUGCCGAGGACCAGUGUGAGCAAAUCUUUAUCUCUAUCUGCAGUGAACUUUCUUUGUCCCUCCUUAAUUUCUUUCACUAUCCUUUUCCAAUUCUCCCUGGGUAUCCUAAGAUUGUCAUUGCAGAUGAGGUCCCCUGUUUUUUCGUCGCACGACCCACCAUGCGCAAGGAACCAAUUUCUUGCUCUCCAUUCCCACUCAUCACGGAGUGGUUCAGGUACGAUGCCUUUAUCUAUCAGAUCUUGCUCUUUCUUUUCCCACUUUGGGAUCGCAGUCUCAUAGCCCCCUGGCCCCAGCUUGUGGUUAUAUAUCUUCUUGUCGGCAUUUAUCUUGUUCUUUUCUGAUAAUGCCUGGGCAUNNNNNNNNNNCCCUGGCCCCAGCUUGUGGUGAUAUUUCUUCUUGUCGGCAUUUAUCUUGUUCUUUUCUGAUAAUGCCUGGGCAUCUUCUCACUCCUUGUACUCUUGAAAUUCCUUCCAGUGAUUCGCAUGCUUGGCUAGAUACCCCUCGAAUACUGGCACUUUCUUUGUCGUCAGAUAGUUUUUCCAUAGCUUCUUCUUCCAGCUACGGAAUAGUUCGGCCAUCUUCUUUAGAGUCGACUGCUUGACUUUGGCCCUCAGUUUGUCUGCGGCGUCUUCAUUCUCACAUUCUGGCAGGUUGAAAUGUGACAUGAUAUCAUUCCAAAGACUAUCUUUGUACCUUUCGACGACAUAGUCACUAUCGGCUGCCCCUUUGCGCUUGUUCCACUCCCGAACGCUGAUCGGGACGUGAUACCUAACGAGAACUCCGCAUUGCUUCUUGAAUGUGUCAGCAUCAUUCUUAGGAAGCUUGGGUUCACCCGUAGGCAUUAUCAGCUCAAAGGUGUAAUGCGUCNNNNNNNNNNNNNNNNNNNNNNNNNNNNNNNNNNNNNNNNNNNNNNNNNNNNNNNNNNNNNNNNNNNNNNNNNNNNNNNNNNNNNNNNNNNNNNNNNNNNNNNNNNNNNNNNNNNNNNNNNNNNNNNNNNNNNNNNNNNNNNNNUGGAGGCCUAAGAGGGAGAAACAUUCGUCAAAUGAAUGUAUAUGUAUAGAAUAUAGAGCUAUCUCCAAUAUUUUUCACAUAUUACAAGUGAUUGUCGAACUUCAUAUGUAUACCUCGCCGGACUUUAUUAUUUCUUCACCGGCUUAUCCACCGGCUUCUUCAUCAGUGGAGCUAUCACCUUCUCCAUCAUUGGACCUAUCUCCUUUUUCUUCUUUUCUUCUCCUUUUUCUUCUUUUCUUCUCCUUUUUCUUCUUUUCUUCUCUUUUUCCUUCCUUUCUUCUCCUUUUUCUUCUUUUCUUCUCUUUUUCCUUCCUUUCUUCUCCUUUUUCUUCUUUUCUUCUCUUUUUUCUUCUUUGCUUGUGCUGGCCGGAGUGUUGGGGAGGAGGGGGCAUGGGGCUUACCGGCCGGAGGUGUCGACGGCGCGCGGCGAGGAGGACGGCGGCGCGCGGCGAGGAGGACGGGGCGACUCGCGGCGAGCAGGACGGCGGCGGCGAGUANNNNNNNNNNGCCCCAUCGGCUUCAUCUUCGUGUCGCUCGACCUCCAUUCCAUAUCCAUAGUCGUUUAGAUAUGACGUCGGAGAUUCAGCUGGUUCAACGUCGGGGCCGUCUUUGAUUAUAUCUUCGAGAAGUUCUUCCUCUUCGAGGUUCCUGAUAUGUGGAUCCAUAGUUCUGCAAAAAACGGACAUUUGAUUAACUAAUAAACUAACAAACUAUAUAAGAGGGGUUGGAAACUUCGAAGGCUCGUUUUAUAUAGGAGGACCUUUAGUCCCGGGUCUUGGCUAGAACCUAAACUCUAAAAUACCAGCCGGGCGGAGCCCAGUCCCGGACACUUAAGCAUAUACAAUAGCAAAAUUAAACUAGUUCUAUUAAUUUUCUUGCUAAAAAUAAACUAUUAACACUUAAGCAUAUACAAUAGAAAAAUUAAACUAUUAACAAUUAAGCAUAUACAAUAGCAAAAUUAAGCAAUAAUCUAAGAAACACUAUUAACACUUAAGCAUAUACACUAUACAAUAGCAAAAUUAAAUGACAAAAAAAAUAGUUCUUCUUCUUGUAACCCUAAACUAAUUUUUCCUCUUCUUCUAUUUGUCCUCUUCUUCUACUUCUUCUUCUACUUCUACUUCUCCUCUUCUUCUACUACUUCUCCUCUCCUCUUCUUCUAUUUUUCCUCUUCUUCUCCUCUCCUCCUCUUCUUAUUCUCCUUUUUCUUCUUUUCUUCUCCUCCUCUUCUUAUUCUCCUUUUUCUUCCUUUCUUCUCCUUUUUCUUCCUUUCUUCUAUUUUUCUUCCUUUCUUCUCCUUUUUCUUCCUUUCUUCUCCUUUUUCUUCUUUUCUUCUCCUUUUCCUUCCUUUCUUCUCCUUUUUCUUCUUUUCUUCUCUUUUUUAUUCCUUUCUUCUCCUUUUUCUUCCUUUCUUCUCCUUUUUCUUCUUUGCUUGUGCUGGCCGGAGUGUUGGGGAGGAGGGGGUGUGGGGCUUACCGGCCGGAGGUGUCGACGGCGUGCGGCGAGGAGGACGGCGGCGAGCGGCGAGGAGGACGGCGGCGCGCGGCGAGGAGGGCGGCGCGCGGCGAGCAGGACGANNNNNNNNNNNNNNNNNNNNNNNNNNNNNNNNNNNNNNNNNNNNNNNNNNNNNNNNNNNNNNNNNNNNNNNNNNNNNNNNNNNNNNNNNNNNNNNNNNNNCCCGAGUGCGACUUUUAGUGCACACUCGGAGAAAGUUAAUACUUAGGCGAUUCUNNNNNNNNNNGAGUGUAUCUGUAGGAUACACUCGAAGGCAAUUGAGUACUUAGGCGAUUCGUGAUCGCGGCUAAGUCUUCGAGUGCGACUGUAAGGUCGUGCUCAGAGCGAGUUUUUACUCAUGUAAUUGUUAGUGGUGUUGACAUCUACAUGAGCCUCAAUGAGGUUCUGCUACUCAUGUAAUUGUCAGUUGUCUUGACAUCUACAUGAGCCUCACUGAGGGUCUGUUGAGUCCCCAAGUUUAUCUGUAGGAUACACUCAAAGGCAAUUGAGUACUUAGGCGAUUCUGAUCGCGGCUAAGUCUUUGACUGCGACUGUAAGGUCGUGCUCGGAGCGAGUUGUUACUCAUGUAAUUGUCAGUGGUCUUGACAUCUACAUGAGCCUCAAUGAGGUUCUGCUACUCAUGGAAUUGUCAGUUGUCUUGACAUCUACAUGAGCCUCACUGAGGGUCUGUUGAGUCCCCNNNNNNNNNNNNNNNNNNNNNNNNNNNNNNNNNNNNNNNNNNNNNNNNNNNNNNNNNNNNNNNNNNNNNNNNNNNNNNNNNNNNNNNNNNNNNNNNNNNNAGUCUACACUUCUUAAUAUGUCCGAUAGAAAUAUUAAGAUUGAGGCUGAGAAGAAGGUGCAAACUCUUCUCACAGAGAGGAGAUGAAAUGGGCCCUUUGAGCAAAGGUGGCGAAGGUGGACCAUGGAGAUGAUAAAACACAAUUCUUUCACAUGAUUGGGAAUGGCAAACAUAGGAAGAAGAAAAUAAUUCUACUUGAACACGAUGAUGAUACAAUUGUAGGAAAUGAGAACCUAAAAUUGUACAUCUUCGAGUAUUAUAAGAAACUUUUUGGUGCACCCGAAGAGAAUUUUGUUUUUCUGGAUUAGAGCACAACAAGUGACAUUCCUCAACCCAGUUCAGAUGAGAACGAGAUUUUGUCAGCCCCAUUUACGGAUGAAGAGAUGUUUGACGCAAUAUCACAAAUGAAGCAAAAUAAGGCACCGGGACCAGAUGGGUUUCUGAUGGAAUUUUAUAAAAAGUGUUGGCAUAUUAUUAAAGAUGAUAUUUGCAUAUGUUCCAUGAUUUGUUUAAUGGGUAUUUACAUCUAUUCCACCUUAACUUUGGAAUAAUAAUGGUGUUUCUAAAGAAGGUGGAGGCUAUUCGCAUUGAGAAGAUCAGGCUGACUGCUCAAUGCCAGCUUCAAAAAAUUUACAAAGGUUGGCACGAAUAGGUUGACAAAGAUAGCCCAUUCCGUAGUCCAAUCGACCGAGACAACUUUCAUGCAUGGAAGACAUAUCCUAGAAGGGUUCAUUGUUUUGCAUGAAAAGUUGCAUGAAAUACAUAAAAAGAAACUUGAUGGGCUUAUCUUUAAAGUGGAUCUCAAGAAGGCGUACGAUAAGGUCAAAUGGCCAUUUCUUCAACAAGCCUUGUGUAUGAAGGGAUUCAACGAAUCCUAGAGGGAUCAUGUGGGUGCUUUCAUUUAGAAAGGUAGAGUUGGGAUUAAAAUUAAUGAUGACAUAGCUCAUUAUUUUUAGACUCAUAAGGGAUUGAGGCACGGAGAUUUCAUGUCUCCCUUGUUGUUCAACAUAGUAGCAGAUAUGUUGGCACUCCUUAUUGAUCGGGCUAAAGAGAAUGGCCAAGUAGGAGGACUUCCUUGGGGAACGUCGCAUGGGAAACAAAAAAUUUCCUACGCGCACUAAUACGUCCAUUUUGCAUCAUUCUUUCAUGUUGAUAUUUAUUGUUUUUUCGGAUUUUAUAUUACUUCUGGUAGCAUAUUUAUGCCUCUUCUCUCUUAUUUUGCAAGGCUUAUUUGAAGAGGGAGAAUUCAGGCAGCUGGAAUUCAGGACUGGAAAAGGAGCAAAUCCUAGUCCACUAUUCUGCACAUCUCCAAAUACCCUGAAAAUUUACGUGGAUUUUUUCUGGAAUAUAUUAAAAAUACUGGGCGAAAGAACUACCGGAGGGGUCCACCAGGGCCCCACAAGCCCCCACUCCGCCACCAACCCCCCUGGUGGCGGUGGGCAAGCUUGUGUGCUGCCUGAAGGCCCACUAGCCCCCCUCUUUUGCUAUGUGAAGCGUCCUGACCUGGGAAAAAUCAUACGGGAGCUUUUUCGUGGUUUCGCCGUCGCCACGAGGCGGAACUUGAGCACAUCCAAUCUAGAGCUCCGGUAGGACGAUCCCGCCAGGGAAAUUUCCCUCCCGGAGGGGGGGAAUCGUCGCCAUCGUCAUCACCAACACUCCUCUCGUCGGAGGGGAGUCAUCUUCAUCAACAUGUUCAUCAGCACCAUCUCCUCUCCAAUCCCUAGUUCAUCUCUUGUAAUCAAUCUUCGUCUCGCGACUCCGAUUGGUACUUUUAAGGUUGCUAGUAGUGUUGAUUACUCUUUGUAGUUGAUGCUUGUUGGAUUACUUGGUGGAAGAGUUGAUGUUCAUAUCCUUGAUGCUAUUCAUUACACCUCUGGUCAUGAUUAUGAUUAUGUCUUGUGAGUAGAUACUUUUGUUCGUGAGGACAUGGGAUAAGUCAUGCUGAUAAUAGUCAUGUGAAUUUGAUAUUCGUUCGGUAUUAUGAUAUGAUGUAUGUUGUUUUCCCUCUAGUGGUGUUAUGUGAACGUCGACUACAUAACACUUCACCAUGUUUGGGCCUAGAGGAAGGCAUUGGGAAGUAGUAAGUAGAUGAUGGGUUGCUGGAGUGACACAAGCUUAAACCCCAGUUUAUGCGUUGCUUCGUGAGGGGCUGAUUUGGAUCCACUAGUUUAAUGCUAUGGUUAGACUUUGUCUUAAUUCUUCUUUUGUAGUUGCGGAUGCUUGCGAGAGAGGUUAAUCAUAAGUGGAUGCUUUUCCAAGUAAGGGCAGUACCCAAGCGCCGGUCCACCCACAUAUCAAACUAUCAAAGUAACGAACGUGAAUCAUAUGAACAUGAUGAAACUAGCAUGACAGAAAUUCCCGUGUGUCCUCGGGAGCGUUUUUCCUCCUAUAAGACUUUGUUCAGGCUUGUCCCUUGCUACAAAAGGGAUUGGGACACUUGCUGCACUGUUUCUACUACUUGUUACUUGUUACUCUUUGCUUGCUACGUUUCACCUCGCUACACAAUCACCUAUUACCGCUACUUUCAGUGCUUGCAGUUAUUACCUUGCUGAAAUCCGUUUAUCACAGCCUUCUGCUCCUCGUUGGGUUCGACACUCAUACUUAUCGAAAGGACUAUGAUUGAUCCCCUAUACUUGUGGGUCAUCAAGACUCUUUUCUGGCGCCGUUGCCGGGGAGUGAAGCGCCUUUGGUAACUGGAAAUUGGUAAGGAAACAUUUAUAUACUAUGCUGAAAUUUAUUGUCACUUGUCACUAUGGAAACUCUUCCUUUGAGGAGUUUGUUCGGGGUAUAUUCACCACGAACGGAAGCACGAGGAGUUGCUCCUCAACCUGAGGUACCUACUGAAAAUAUCUUUUAUGAAAUUGCUUUGGGUAUGCUUGAGAAACUGCUGGCUAAUCCUUUCACAGGAGAUGGAUCUUCACAUCCAGACUUUCAUCUAAUCUAUGUAGAUGAAGUUUGUGGUUUAUUUAAGCUUGCAGGUUUGCCCGAGGAUGAGGUAAAUAAGAAAGUCUUUCCUUUAUCUUUGAAGGAUAAGGAGUUGACAUGGUAUAGGCUAUGUGAUGAUGAUGGAUCAUGGGGCUACAAUCGGUUGAAAUUGGAAUUUCAUCAAAAGUUCUAUCCUAUGCAUUUAGUACAUCGUGAUCGGAACUUUAUUUAUAACUUUUGGCCUCGUGACAGGGAAAGCAUAGCUCAAGCUUGGGGAGGCUUAAAUCAAUGAUAUAUUCAUGCCCCAAUCAUGAGCUCUCGAGAGAAAUCAUCACUCAAAACUUUUAUGCUCGGCUUUCUCAUGAAGAUCGUACCAUGCUUGACACUUCUUGUGCCGAUUCUUUUAUGAAGAAGGAUAUUGAUCACAAGUGGAAUUUAUUGGAGAGAAUCAAACGCAACUCCGAAGAUUGGGAGUUGGAGGAAGGUAAGGACUCAGGUAUGAAUUUCCAGUUUGAUUGCGUUAAAUCUUUUGUUGAGACAAACACUUCUAGAGAUUUUAGCGCUAAGUAUGGACUUGACUCUGAGAUAGUAGCAUCUCUUUGUGAAUCUUUUGCUGCUCAUGUUGAACUUCCCAAAGAGAAGUGGCAUCCUCCUGUAGAAAGCAACAUAGCCUAAACCAAUCUAGUUGAGGAGAAAAUCAUAGCUUUUAGUGAUCCUGUUGUUCCUUGUGCUUACACUAAGAAACCACCAUCCCCUGCUAGAAUGAAGGAUUAUUCUAAAGCUCCAACUGUGAUAUGUAGGGGUUACAUUAGACCACUUGCACCCCCUGAGGAGAUUAGAGUUGAACCUAGUGUUGCUAUUAUCAAAGAUCUCUUAGCCGAAGACAUAGAUGGGCAUGUUAUUAAAUUCUGUGAGGACUCUGCUAGAAUUGCUAAACCUCACGCGAAAGACAAGCAUGGACCUGUAGUUGGCCUUCUCGUUGUUUCUGUUAAGAUAGGAGAUCACUGCUACCAUGGUUUAUGUGAUAUGGGAGCUAGUGUUAUUGCAAUACCCCGUUAUCUCUAUGAUGAAAUCAAAGAUGAGAUUGCACCUGCUGAGAUAGAAUCCAUUGAUGUCACUAUCACGCUAGCUAAUAGAGACACUAUCUGCCCUUUGGGAAUUGUGAGAGACGUAGAAGUCCUGUGUGGUAAGACGAAGUAUCCUACUGAUUUCCUCCUCCUCGGUACUGCACAAGAUAGCUUUUGUCCCAUCAUAUUUGGUAGACCCUUUCUCAACACUGUCAAUGCUCACAUUGAUUGCAUUAAGCAGACUGUCACAGUAAGUUUUGAGGGUGUGUCUCAUGAAUUUAACUUCUCCAAGUUUGGAAGACAACCCCAUGAAAGAGAGUCGUCUGGUAGAGAUGAAAUCAUUUCUCUUGCCUCUAUUGCCGUACCUCCUACGGAUCCUUUAGAGCAAUAUCUUGAGCAUGAAAAUGAUAUGCAUAUGGAGGAGAGAGAUGAGAUAGAUAGAAUUGUCUUAGAACAACAUCCUAUUCUCAAGAAUAAUCUGCCUGUUGAACUGCUUGGGGAUCCUCCCCCACCUAAGGGUGAUCCUGUGUUCGAGCUUAAAUAGUUGCCUGAUACUCUUAAGUAUGCCUAUCUUGAUGAGAAGGAUAUAUAUCCUGUCAUUAUCAGUGCCCUCCUCUCAGAGCUCGAAGAGAAGAAGUUACUAAAAACUCUGAGGAAGCACCGCGCUGCUAUUGGAUAUACUCUUGAUGAUCUUAAUUAAGGGUAUUAGUCCUACUCUAUGUCAGCACAAGAUUAAAACCGAUCCUGACUUUAAACCAGUUGCUGAUCAUCAAAGGAGAUUGAAUCCUAAGAUGAAAGAGGUCGUUAGAAAAGAAAUAUUAAAGCUUCUGGAAGCAGGAAUCAUUUAUCCUGUUGCUCAUAGUGAUUGGUAAGUCCAGUACAUUGCGUACCUAAGAAGGGAGGUAUCACCGUCGUUCCUAAUGAUAAGGAUGAACUAAUCCCACAAAGGAUUAUUACCGGCUAUAGAAUGGUGAUAGACUUCCGGAAACUGAACAAGGCAACCAGGAAAGAUCAUUAUCCUUUGUCGUUCAUCGACCAAAUGCUAGAAAGGCUAUCAAAACACACACACUUCUGCUUUCUAGACGGUUAUUCAGGUUUCUCGUAGAUACUUGUUGCACAAUCUGAUCAAGAGUAAACCACUUUCACCUGCCCUUUCGGUACCUUUGCCUAUAGACGUAUGCCUUUUGGCUUAUGCAAUGCACCCGCCACCUUCCAAAGAUGUAUGAUGGCUAUAUUCUCUGACUUCUGUGAAAAGAUUGUCGAGGUUUUCAUGGAUUACUUCUCCGUUUAUGGGUCUUCCUUUGAUGAUUGCCUCAGCAACCUUGAUGGAGUCUUACAGAGAUGCGAAGAAACCAACCUCGUCUUGAAUUGGGAGAAGUGCCACUUUAUGGUUAAUGAAGGUAUCGUCUUAGGACACAAAAUCUCUGAAAGAGGCAUUGAAGUUGAUAAGGCUAAGGUUGAUGCAAUUGAUAAAAUGCCUUGCCCCACAGAUAUCAGAGGUAUACGAAGUUUCCUAGGUCAUGCUGGUUUGUAUAGAAGGUUCAUUAAAGACUUAUCUAAGAUUUCUAGGCCUCUUACCAACCUCUUGCAGAAGGAUGUUCCUUUUGUUUUUGAUGAGGAUUGUGAGGAAGCCUUCGAAAUACUUAAGAAGGCUUUGAUAACCGCACCUAUUGUUCAACCACCUGACUGGAACUUGCCCUUUGAAAUCAUGUGUGUCGCUAGUGAUUACGCUGUUGGUGCUGUUCUAGGACAAAGAGUUGACAAGAAGUUGAAUGUCAUUCACUACGCUAGUAAAACUCUAGACAGUGCCCAAAGAAACUAUGUCACUAUGGAGAAGAAAUUUUUAGUAGUCGUGUUUGCAUGUGAAAAAACAGAUCUUACAUAGUUGACUCCAAAGUCACUAUUCACUCUGAUCAGUCUGCUAUUAAGUACCUUAUGCAGAAGAAGGAUGCUAAGCCUAGGCUGAUCAGAUGGGUUCUCCUGCUACAGGAAUUUGAUUUGCACGUCGUUGACCGAAAAGGUGCUGACAAUCCUAUAGCAGAUAACUUGUCUAGACUAGAGAAUGUCCGUGAUGACCCACUACCAAUUGAUGACAGCUUUCCUGAUGAGCAAUUAAAUGUCAUCCGCACUUCACUUAGUGCACCGUGGUAUGCCGAUUAUGCAAACUAUAUCGUAGCCAAAUACAUACCACCCAGUUUCACCUAUGAACAAAAGAGGAAAUUCUUCGUUGAUUUGAGACACUACUUCUGGGAUGAUCCUCACCUUUAUAAGGAAGGAGUAGAUGGUGUUAUUAGACGUUGUGUGCCUGAACAUGAACAGGGACAGAUCCUGCAGAAGUGUCAUUCCGAAGCCUACGGAGGACACCAUGCUGGAGAUAGAAUUGCCCAUAAGGUAUUGCAAUCAGGUUUCUAUUGGCCCACUCUCUUCAAGGAUGCCCGUAAGUUUGUCUUUUCUUGUGACGAAUGCCUAAGGAUAGGGAACAUCAGUAAGCGUCAAGAGAUGCCUAUGAACUAUUCACUUGUCAUUGAACCAUUUGAUGUCUGGGGCUUUGAUUAUAUGGGACCCUUCCCGAGUUCCGAUGGGUACACUCACAUCUUAGUUGCUGUGGAUUACGUUACUAAGUGGGUAGAAGCUAUCCCCACUAAAAAUGCUGAUCACCACACCUCUAUUAAGAUGCUUAAAGAAGUCAUAUUCCCAAGAUUUGGAGUCCCUAGAUACUUGAUGACUGAUUGCGAUUCACACUUCAUUCAUGGUGUUUUCCGCAAGAUGCUAGCUAAGUAUGAUGUCAACCAUAGAGUUGCAUCUCCUUAUCAUCCUCAGUCUAGUGGUCAAGUGGAGUUGAGUAAUAGGGAGAUCAAAUUGAUCCUACAAAAGACCGUCAAUAGAUCUCGAAAGAACUGGUCAAGCAAACUUGACGAUGCACUAUGGGCUUAUAGGACUGCUUAUAAGAAUUCCAUGGGCAUGUCACCGUAUAAAAUGGUUUACGGUAAAGUCUAUCAUUUACCUCUUGAGCUGGAACACAAAGCUUAUUGGGCAAUCAAAGAGCUCAACUUUGAUUUCAAACUUGCUGGUGAGAAGCGGUUGUUUGAUAUCAGCUCGUUGGAUGAAUGGAGAGCCCAGGCAUAUGAGAAUGCCAGGUUGUUCAAGGAAAAGGUUAAGAGAUGGCACGACAAACGAAUACAGAAACGAGAGUUCAAUGUAGGUGAUUAUGUCUUGCUAUACAAUUCUCGUUUGAGAUUCUUUGCACGCUAGCUUCUCUCUAAAUGGGAAGGUUCCUAUGUUGUCGAGGAAGUAUAUCGUUCCGGUGCCAUCAAAAUCAAUAACACGGAAGGAAAUUUUCCUAGAGUGGUAAAUGGGCAAAGAAUCAAGCAUUACAUCUCUGGUACUCCCAUAAAUGUUGAGACCAAUAUCAUCAAUGUCAUAACUCCAGAGGAGUACAUAAGGGAUGUUUAUCAGCCUGUUUCAGACCUUGAAAACGAAGAUGUAUCUGUUUCGGCAAGAAAUUGGACUCCGAUAUUUUGUACGCAAGUAUGCAUGAUUGAAUGAAUCAUGAUACGAUCAACGUAUUUUGGCAUUCACUUUCUACAUCUUGUUUUUGUUCUUUUUUUCUUGUUUCUAUCAUUGUGGCACUCGGAUGGAUGGCGACGCUUCUUUUUUGAGUUCAUCUUCCAGGCUUCGAUUCUCAUUAAGUCUGUCCGUCUGGACAUAGUCGACGGAGCUACUGCGUAGAAUCAUGUUGUCUUCUUCUCGUGACGAGGUUAUGGUUUCUCGUCAUAUGACGAGAUUUGGUGUCAUUGCUUCAGAUCAAUGAAAUGGUUCUAUAGCGACGACUACGGUCCCAGGGUUUGGUCCUUACGUGCAUCUGGAGGAAGAUAUCUCGGAUGUCAUCGUCAGUGUCAAGUUGGCUCCGGUAGGGGAGCGGUGACAGCGAUGCAUCGUCGACACGUUCUAUCAGUUAAGUGGUUAUUCGGUGGUUUCGGAAUCUCAUUCUAAUUUUUAUUAUGUUUGAGAUGCUUUGUAUUUUCGAUGAACGUUUAUAAAAGAUCUGAUACUUUGCUUAAAAAUGAAUGAAAAAUGAUCCUUCCCCAUCGACUCUACUUCCGCUGCGCUACGAGUCGGUAAUGAUCAGAUAAAACCCUGUAUGCAUCUCCUUAGUGGUCCUGGGCGUGCUCGUAGUACCGAAAUUUUUUGUUUUCUAUCGCGUUCCUCUACAGUGGAAUCAUGAGCUAAGCUAUGGGUAGAUGGAGGUUAUGAUCUAGAAUACAUGAGAUGUAUGGGUAUAGCAUAGUAUAAUUUUGUAGUAGAUGAGAUCUAUUGCUGAAAAUUAUAUGUGCGGGUAGUAGAUGAAAUCUAUUACCCAAUAUUCUUGUUGCUUCGCGUGAAUUUGUGUGGUCCUGAUCCUGACGGCAUGGUGGAAUCUUACAAAGUUUUGGCAAUCCGCGAUCCUUUCAUGCUGCUCUUGAGUAUGUUGAUUGAUAGAUCACCGAAGUGCUUCAGUGCUUUUGGGUUCCACCAUAGUUGAGAAAGAUGGAUGUUUCGCAGACGAAAGGGAAAUGCAGAUAUGAUCUGCACGGGGGUCAUGCAUAUGACGAAGUUUAGUAUGGGGCUUGAGCUUUUAUUAUCUCGUGUUUCAUACACCUUGGAAAGUUAAUCUAGCAACUUGAAUUAUUAUACCUGAUGAUGAACGUUGGUAGCUGCAGUUUAAGUCAAAAACAUAGAAGCCAUGUAAAAAUAAAAUUUUGCAUUAACCAAUUAGAGGCGUCUAACUUGAUUUUACAGAAUGUGCAUGAGAUGUGGUAUAACAAUUCUCAUAUUCAACUUGAUUACGUAUGAGAUGACUAUAUAAUGUAAAUUAACAUGACCUGUGUGUCAUGAUUCUGCAUGAUGGCUGGAGCCAUAUGAUUGUCACUUUAAUGACAUGUGUUUCGACAUUAAGUAAUGCAUUUAUUUUACCAGCUAUAGAGAUAGCAAUAUUAUUUGAUGCGUCGAAAAGGUGGUGGCAAUAUUAUCUGAUGUGUACAUAUAUUUGUGCUAACCCUUUUCAAGUAUCCACACAACAUUUUUUUAUAAAUUGUGUACUUUUUCUUGGGUUUUAACUCAUCCUAAGUUGUUGUUCCCAUGAUCUUCGUGGGAAACCGUCUACUAUGUAGCUUCUCAUCCUGAAAAAAGGACCAGUUUUUGUAAGGUUGUUGUGUUCUUGGUUCUUUCACAAAAGUAUUGACUAGAUACUCUGCCUCUUUCUCUGAUAUCGGGCUUUCAACUCUCUAGUUAGGGUCAAAGGCUUAGAAUGUUACUCAUUAUGUAAACGAAUAUAAGACAGUUUAGAUCACUAUUAGCAUCUAAAAUGUUAAUAGUGACUCCCUAUAUAAACCAACAAAAGAACCCUUACGUUCUUUAUAUCAAGAUGGCAUUAGCAAUAGAACACUUACGUUACAAUGGGGCAGAAAAAUACCGCACAUCCUUAAUCCAAUAACCAUGACUCAAGGCUGCAUUCGGUCCACGUGGAUACCGUUUGUGUUGCGGCUUAUCCUCAUUACAACCCUUGCCGACAGUGGCCUCAGUCCUCAAACAACCACAACACGUUUGAAUGUGAUCAAUCCUAACGUGUAUUGCUCUCUCUCGGCAUCAAAUGAGAAAUCUUCUUUAUUUUCCCCUUGCAAGGUUUUGUCGAGGCUUGCUUGCGAGGCUAUAGAUGAUUUGUUUUGUCUCCAAUGUGGUUUUGCUAAGGUGCGAUUUCUAUUCCGUUACUACACUGUUUUCAAAGAAAGACGAACCGUGAGCUAUUGAUUAAGAUGGCAACCUAAAUAAUAUUUUAAAAGUGUUUAACAGGUAAAACAAAAUCACAUUCAGAUUCUAUAAUUCUUCUAAUUAAUCUUCAUCUAUAACAUGUCAAAAUUGAAGUUCGGGUUUAAAAGAUAUGGAUGUUCUUAAAAGUAUUUUAAUCAGCCCAUGGAGUUUGGGUUUAUUGAACAAAAUAUCGUUCUGAAAAACAUAGAAGAUUUUCUGGAGUCACUCAAAACAGGACAGUGGGUCGUUUAACCGAAAGGUUAAGAAGUUUUCAGUUAAAAAAAUAAAUAUUUUUUAUAUUCACUUAAAACCAGGACCGUGCGUUGAUUUCAUGAAACAAUAGGGUUUUUUCUUUGCAAAAGGCGCGACGGAUGGGUAGAAACAUUUCUCCUUUUAUUAGUAGGUAAAGACUAGUGAUCAAGAAUGUAUUAUACUCCCUUCAUUUCUAAAUAUAAGUGUUUUUAGAGAUUUCACUAAAAACUAUAUACGGAUGUAUAUAGACACAAUUUAGAUUGUAGAUUCAUUCAUUUUGCUUAAUAAUGGAGGAAGUAUUAGUUUACAGAUGUAGUGUCUUUAUGUGGCUAGCGAAAUACCAACAAUAUCUACAUGAUUAAAUGGAUGUGCCUAUAUGUGCAAUUCAGAGAGCUUGAGAGAGCAAGUUUUGGAUGAAUCCACCUUACUAUAUCCUAGUACAUCCAUCACACGUACAGCUAGCUAGGGAACCCUGACGCAAUGACGUGCAUAUAUAGAUAUGAGGCAACCCUGCCGACAUGGAAAACUAUAUGUCCAUGUGAACACUUGACUGGUCAUACUACACUACAAGAAAAUAGAAUAACCACACACGCAAUGUAUAUCAGAAUACCAGCACCGCGUAGACUUCACUAAUUGCAUGACAGGUCGAUCGACUUGCAUGUCCCAUGGAAAUGACUGGCCUAGGAUCACAGCAGUGGGGUGUCAGUUCGUAAAAUUUAACUUAAGUACCAUCUUAGUUUUAACAAAUAGUCCUAAAAUGGCACAAAGUUGUCAGAGAAUUAUAGCGAAUAUAGUAUAAAGUAGUUUGCAUUUUUUAGAGGAGUGCCACAGCCAUGGCAGUAUGGCACCUCAAGAUCUGCAGCUGUUUCGUGUAUUGGAGCUAAAUAAUGAGUGCAACAUUUCGGUGUCCUCUGCAUCCGGUUAGGAAAAAAAUCAUAAAAAACUUCAAAAAAUGCCAAUAAAAUCAAAAAAAAUCUCAUGGUAGAAAAGUUUUUGCGUGAGGUCCGCUCCAAUUUUUAGAUUAUUUGAACAUCUGAUAAGCUCUCAGCAAAAAAGAUAAAUUGGAUCAGAACAGUGUAUGAACCAUAACUUUUUUAUGAACCCUGAAUUUGUCUUUUUUUCUGAGAGAUGCUGAGAUGUUUAAAUGAUUUAAAAACUGAAGGGGCCUUUACCAUCAAAUUAUCUACAACGUAAAAAAAUCUAGUAUUUGUUUUGAUUUUAUUUUCUUCGGCGCGGGGUGCAGAUGAGCCUGGGCUCGGAAGUGGAUUAUCGCUAAAUAAUAUGUUGUUUUGUCAAAAGAAAGAUAGGACCCCCAGCCUCUGCAACCUCUGCAUUAUGAUGAUGCACACAACCAUAUUUAUUAAAGUUGAUGUAAGGGGCAGAGAACAAAAUUAUCAAUAAGUGUAGUACAUAACUAUUACAAGAUGUGAAUUUAACACUUAGGACUAAAUCGACUUCUUUCGCAAGACUUCAGUAAGGAAAAGACGCCCUCACAUCAUCGUCAUCACAUUCGACCGGAGACGUCUAGGACACGAAUUUCCAUCCUAGUAGCCCAACCAAGGCCGGGCGGGUCGCUGUUGGAUAUGAAUCCUGCAACUACCCUUGUUGGGCCAGUGGCUCCAGUCGAAGGCGCGAGAUGGCACAACUGCCCCGUCUACUUUAACGGGACCAUGAAGGCGCCUCAAAGCGCCAGCAUCACUCGCCAUGAGGAGCUCUCGAAGAUGGACUUGAGAGAAGGGGAGCGCUUACACGAUUUUGCUCAAGGAGAGGGGGAGCGCUUACACGAUUUUGCUCAAGGAGAGGGUGCAUCGUAAAAUCGCACGGUCUCCUAGAUUAGGGGGUAUUAACCUGGUCGGUCCACGCUCCUCGAAUUGGGCCGAUGGGCCAUCAUCCUACUCGAGGUGGACUCCGGAAGCUGCACAUUGGGUGUUAUCAAGGUUACAUCUGCCGAAGGCUUGACAUAUACUUCAAGACUCCUCCUCCCGCCUCUAUGUUAGGAUACCGACCUUGUAGCCCUAGAUAUCCUACGUAGGGUUUUACCUUCAUCAAGAGGGCUCGAACCUGGAUAAACAUCGUCUCCCUGUUCCUGUUAUCAUUUGUCCAACAUCAACAGCUUGGGGCCUCCUACCCCGAGGUCUACCGGUUUUCACACCCACUGUGUUCUCUCAAGAAAAAAAUGCUAUAUUUUUUUAACCGGUCUAACCCCCUUUCCAUUACUUGAAUAACGAAAUACAUCAGAUCCUAGAGUUCAACAGGAGGAGGGAAAGGAGAUAGAGCGAGUUCAACCAUUGCUAGGAAACCCACUGUGACCGCUCGUCAUCGAAUCGAUCACUGCGAGACGAAAACCUAGCUACAAUAUCCUAGCGGGAGAAGUAUCAUUCCUAUUACAACCUAGGAAUAAUAGGUACAAAAGAGAUAAUAGACUAAACAGUUUUUAAGUAUGUCAGAACACCACAAAAAGACUGCCAGCAGCCACCCUUGCAAAAGUGCAUCGUCCCCAUACCUCCGCUGUUCAUCCACGGCCAGCAUUGCACAGCCUCAUCAGUGACACAGUCCCCGCCCGAACAACUUCAGUUCCGGUUCGCAUCCUCUUCAUGUCGCCUGCUGGCUGCAAACCUGCCCAAUAAAGAAGGAAAGAGCAAUCAGUAAACACAAUCUCAAAUGAAGAUUUGAUCGGUUUUUUCUCCAAGGUAGGUGGAUUCCGAGCUAACCAAAUAGCCCAGGUAAUUGCAGCCAAGCCCACCGUAUAGAAUUUAUCAUCUCCAGGCAUGAAACAAUGGGACCAGGCAAAGUAUUGUCAGUGGUUGUUGGGUCCAAAAUAUGUCCCCAAACAAACCCCAGCCGAACGCCAUAACGCCAUAACUCUACAAAAAAGUGAUAUAAUGUGUAACUAUUUUGUUCAAGUCGAGCAGAUGGACUCUAUCUUGCACCAUAGCGUUUAAGCAGUAUUGAAAUUAGGUCCGCCUAUACAUCAAGUAUCUUGGGAAAAAAAACUGCAUCGAUCAAUUUUCCCAGCAGUUGGAUGGCACGAUCGUGGCACCACCUAUUAUCGUUUUCGCCCCUCACAUCGUACCUCCGUUCGGCCUCGCACAAAACAAAUUGUGUCUGACGCAAAGAAAAAAUGUAGGUACCUGAUGUUUAUCUAAACAAAUUGUGUGUUGGAUUAACUACUUAUUAUACAACAAGCUGAAGGUAUGUGUCCAGCCGUGCCAACGAGCCCGUACGGAAGAUAUAAUAGACACAUGAAAUCAAAGACAUACAGCUCGGAUAUGCGUCUCCCGUGAACGUGAUGAUCAGGGUAAGCCAGCUCCUAGAGCUGCCNNNNNNNNNNACAGAUGGACUCUAUCUUGCACCACAGCGUUUAAGCAGUAUUGAAAUUAGGUCGAGCAUAUGGUUUUCGCCCCUCACAUCGUACCUUCGUUCGGCCUCGCACAAAACAAAUUGUGACUGACGCAAAAAAAAAAUUCAGGUACCUGAUGUUUAUCAAAUGUGUGGAAUUCUUCGUCGGCACAACCAAUGGCGUCCUGGAUUAACUAAUUAUUAUACAACAAGCUGAAGGUAUGUGUCCAGCCGUGCCAACGAGCCCGUACGGAAGAUAUAAUGGACACAUGAAAUCAAAAAACCAUACAGCUCGUAUAUGUGUCUCCCGUGAACGUGAUGAUCAGGGUAAGCCAGCUCCGAGAGCUGCCAUGCCAGAUAUAUAUAUUCCUUUGUCCGAUGCGAUGCUCUAGAUUAUUUUGGCUCCACACUCGUAAAUCCAUCAAAUAUUUAUGUGCACUCUGCAGCAGACAACAUGCACAUAGGAGUACUCUUCUUGAAAANNNNNNNNNNUUUGAGAGCUCCCGUGAACCUUUGUCCGAUGUGAUGCUCUAAAUUAUUUUGGCUCCACACUCGUAAACCCAUCAAAUAUUUAUUUGCACUCUGCAGCAGACAACAUGCACAUAGGAGUACUCUUCUUGAAAACUAAAGGAAAGUCUCGUGGCACAGCUCUCAGGUUUUUGUUCAUUAGCGAACACAUUAAGCUCUAAUGAUGGAUGUCACACGUAACAUGCCAGUACAAUAAUGGUUGCACAUGAGUUUUGGAAAUUACCACGGCAACAGGCAAACUAACUACGUCGAUUGAUAAUGACAUGAACGAGGCACUUGCACNNNNNNNNNNCAAUGAUGGAUGUCACACACGUAACAUGCCAGUACAAUAAUGGUUGCACAUGAGUUUUGGAAAGUACCACGGCAACACGCAAACUAACUACGUCGAUUGAUAAUGACAUGAACGAGGCACUUGCACNNNNNNNNNNCUCGAUUGAUGAUGACAUGAAGGCACUUGCACACCACACCCGGUCUAUAAGUACCACCCCCAAACAACCCAAGAAAACCAUCCCAAGCUAGCAUACCCUACAAGCUUAAUUAGCCACAUACCAGCACAAACGAUCAGUAGCAAUNNNNNNNNNNUCUGUCCCAACAGCACUUGCACACCCCACCCGGUCUAUAAGUACCACCCCAAACAACCCAAGAAAACCAUCCCAAGCUAGCAUAGCCUACAAGCUUAAUUAGCCACAUACCAAAGGGCCUCCUGCCUGGGCUCACCGCACCGGCCACGUGGAGGCCCAUCUGUCCCGGUUUAUGCAAGAACCGAGACUAAAGGUUUAGGGCAUUAGUACCGACACUUUAGUCCCGGUUCAAAAAACGGGACAAAUGGCCCUCACGAACCGGGACAAUAGGUCCUUUUUCUACUAAUGGGAUAAGCUCUUUUGCAUUGUAGCUCGCUGGACGGUGUGGUUUAACUUUAGGUUUGUCCUUGUGAUGUUCGUGCUAUGCAUCAAGUGAUAGCUNNNNNNNNNNNNNNNNNNNNNNNNNNNNNNNNNNNNNNNNNNNNNNNNCUGGACACAUGGAAUCAAAACCGUACGAGACUCCUAUAUGUGUCUCCCGUGAACGUGAUGAUCAGGGUAAGCCAGCUCCUAGAGCUGCCAUGCCAGAUAUAUGUAUAUAUUCCUUUGUCCGAUCCGGUGCUCCAGAUUAUUAUGGCCACACUUGUAAGCCCAUCAAAUAUUUAUGUACACACAGCAGACAACAUGCAUAUAGGAGUANNNNNNNNNNAUGGACACAUGGAAUCAAAAUCGUACGACUCCUAUUUGUGUCUCCGUGAACGUGAUGAUCAGGGUAAGCCAGCUCCUAGAGCUGCCAUGCCAGAUAUAUCUAUUCCUUUGUCCGAUCCUGUGCUCCAGAUUAUUAUGGCCACACUUGUAAGCCAUCAAAUAUUUAUGUACACACAGCAGACAACAUGCAUAUAGGAGUACUCUUCUUGGAAACAAAAGGAAACUCUCAUGGCACAGCUCUCAAGUUUUUGUUCAUUAGCGAACAGAUUAAGCUCCAAUGAUGGAUGUCACACCCGUAACAUGCGAGUACAAUAAUGGUUGCACAUGAGUUUUGGAAAUUACCACGGCAAGAUUGAAACUAAUUACGUCGAUUGAUAAUGACAUGAACGAGGCAUUUGUUGGAAAUAAGUCGUGACGGAGCACGGUGCGACCGGCGUCGAUGCGUCGGGUCGGGUCCGUGACGGUGCGACCGACGUUGGUGCGUCGGGUCGGGUUCCGCAGGCUGGGUUACGACAACAUUGUGUGCAUGUACGUGUGGCGUGUGUGUAGUGCAGCGCAAAGCGUGCGUGGUCGCCAAGGCAGCUCGAGCUGGCCGUUAGCACGUUGUGCGCCUCGUGCGUGCUGGCCGGGCGGAUCGCUAGCUCUAGGUGCGUGCGUGCGUAGGAGACGUGGACGCUGCGUACCUGUAGGACUACAAAGCCGCGGACGCGAACAUGUAUUCAUCAGGGAAAGGAAGCAAAGUGGCUGUGUGUGCGGCCAGGCGUUAGUCGCCGGAAAAACUCCAGUGUGCAUUCUCCUUUCUUCUACCUCUGUCCAGUUGUGUGUGAGAGANNNNNNNNNNUCGAGUUCGUCGCUUGCCGCGCCGGGCAGGAGAACGAGAGGAAGAAGAAGAGAAAUGGAUGAUUUGGUUCGAAAUUUUCUAACUCCCGCUUAUACAGGUGGAUCUACAGUCCCGAUUCGUGGCUCGAUCCGGGACUAAAGAUCCUUUAGUCCCGGAUGGAGCCACGAACUGGGACUAAAGGCCCUUUUUCGGCUGACCAGAAGGCGGGAAGCAGGGGCCUUUAGUCCCGGGGCGUGGCUCGAACCGGGACUAAAGACCACUUUAGUCCCGGGUGGAGCCACGACCCGGGACUAAAGCCCCUUUUUCGGCUGACCAGAAGGCGGGAAGCAGGGGCCUUUAGUCCCGGGGCGUGGAAAGAACCGGGACUAAAGUUUUGCCUAUAUAAACCCUCGCCCCUGCCCACCAUAUCCCCUGUUUUUUGGUUGUUGAAGUGUGACCAUGCCAUGCUCUUGCCACUCUAGUUCAUGCACAUGACGUGUUCGAUGAAAUGCUCGAGCCACUCUACUUAAGCUUUCUCCUCUCCAAGCUCGACCUCCAAGCUCCAUUUUCCUUAAUAUUUGUCUAGGUUUGGCCGUGCACCAACUGCGAGCACCACCGUGGUGAGCCUCUUGUUCUUAUCUUCUUUUUAAAAUUAAAAAAAUCUUACUUGUAUGAAUUAUAUACAUACUUGUAUAAAUUACUCACUUUCAUUAUUUUUUGUUAUGAUAUAGUGCGAUGGUUUUGGUAUCCGCCUCCGUCGGCCCUCGUCCUGUCUAUGAUUCGGAUGUGGUAUAUAUUAUAUUUUAUAACUAUUUGUUUUAUUUAGUGUUUAUGACAAUUAUGACAUAUAUUUUUUAAUCUAGGAGGUAUGUGAACCGGAAAUUCCAACCCACAUAAAAAUUCUUGUCGAGAAGUUCAAUUUGGUUGAAAAAGAAAACAAAUACUUGAAGAAAAAAUUGAAAAUAAUUGAGGAUAAGAAUAUGGAACUGGAGUUGCAUGUCGCCGAUGUCAUCGAUGAUUGCAAGAUGAAGAUCGAUGCGAUGCGGUUGAAGAUGGAUGCAAUGCGCUUGAAGAUGGAUGAAAUGCGCUUGAAGAUUAGGAAUAUUAGAAAAUAUGCCAUUGAUAAGGAGGUUGGUAUCAUUAUGUUGUUGGGUCAAUUGUUACCUUAGUGCGAUUUUGAUCGCGUUUGUUGUUGCAUUUAAAUGUUUUACAUAGUUGUAUGUUGUUUCAUGAGAGAACUUUAUGUAUUUAUUUUUUGCAAUAAUAACAUUUGGUCACUACUGUUCUUUGGCUUUAAUGUGAUGAUGAACUUGUAUUAAUUUGGUCAUAUGUUUUGCAAUGGUUUUUUAAUAUAUUUGAUUUCAUAAUAGAGAUGAAUCGCCAAUGAUAAUAUUUAAUUUCAUAAUAUGGUUUUUUGAACUCCAUAAAAAGUUGAGAGGGCUACGACAAAAACUAGAUGCACUUCGUGUACAAAACGGACAAUCUCUCUCGAAGUAUCAGGGUUUCGAACGAGAACUUGUCUCUUACAAAGGGAUUUCAUUUUUGUGAACUUAUUUGAACUCCAUACUUUUUGGUGUGUUCAAAAUGCACCAUUCAAAGGCACAACACAAAAUUUCAACAAUUUCUGACUUCAUUUGGUAUAUUUCGUGGAUUUACUUAUUUGUUUUGAGCUAGUUGACCCUGAAAUUGAAAAGCACUACAAAUGAACUCUGAAAAUGUUGAAAGUUGGCAUGCUAUCAUCAUUUCACCCACAUAGCAUGUGCUAAAAAGUUGAGAGGGCUACGACAAAAACUGGAUGCACUUCGUGUACAAAACGGACAAUCUCUCUCGAAGUAUCAGGGUGUCGAACGAGAACUCAUCUCUUACAUGGAUAAUAUGAAAAUGAAAAGUGUUUGAAAUUUAGUACGUUCCAUACAUGCAUUACAUAAAAGGUUUAAUANNNNNNNNNNUUGGAUGCACUUCGUGUACAAAACGGACAAUCUCUCUCGAAGUAUGAGGGUUUCGAACGAGAACUCAUCUCUUACAUGGAUAAUAUGAAAAUGAAAAGUUUUUGAAAUUUAGUACGUUCCAUACAUGCAUUACAUAAAAGGUUUAAUACAUUAUUACAUUAUUGCACCAAUAUUCCUAUCUAUUAUUUCUGUUUUAUUCUGGGUCAUAGCCAUGGAGAAUCUUCAUCAUUCAUUAGGAUGCUUGGGUCAUUUUUCACUUUGAAGGGCGGAAUUUCAUGAAACUUAUUAUAAUCUUCUGNNNNNNNNNNCUUUUCUUCUGGGUCGUAGCCAUGGAGAAUCUUCAUCAUUCAGUAGGAUGCUUGGGUCAGUUUUCACUUUGAAGGGCGGAAUUUCAUGAAACUUAUUAUAAUCUUCUGACAUGUCUGUCUUGUCAUCUACUCCCACGAUGUUUCUUUUCCCUGAAAGAACCAUGUGGCGUUUUGGCUCAUCGGAUGAUAUCUUCUUUUGCUGAUUUCUUUUUCUCGUUAAUGUAGACAUGUCCUUCACAUAGAAAACCUGAGCGACAUCAUUGGCUAGGACAAAUGGUUCGUCCAUGUACGCAAGAUUGUUAAGAUCCACUGUUGUCAUGCCGUACUUUUGGUCUACAACUAACCCGCCUCCUCUCAGUUUCACCCAUUUGCACCGAAAUAAAGGAAUCAUAAAAGUAGGUCCAUAGUCAAGUUCCCAUAUCUCCUCUAUGUACCCGUAAUAUGUUUCCAAACAGUGCCCAUUCUCGUCUGUUGCAUCAAAGCAUACACCACUAUUUUGGUUGGUGCUCUUUUUAUCUUGGGCAACCGUGUAAAAUGUAUUCCCAUUUAUCUCAUACCCUUGCAAAGUACAUAUAGUCGAAGAUGGUGGCCUGGCCAAACAGUACAGCUCAUCUCCAACGGUGUCGUCAUUCAGGAGAUGUGUCUGCAACCAACUNNNNNNNNNNGAAAGUACAUAUAGUCGAAGAUGGUGGCCUGGCCAAACAAACAACUCAUCUCCAACGGUGUCGUCAUUCAGGAGAUGUGUCUGCAACCAACUGCCGAAAGUCUUCUCGUGUUCCCCUUUAAUCCAAGAGUCAGCCUUCCCCGGGUUUUCGGAGCGUAGAAUAUUCUUGUGUCUCACGAUAUACGGAGCCACCAUGGUGGAAUUGUGUAGAACUGUGUAGUGUGCUUGAGAGAAAGAAUGCUCGUCCAUACAUACUUUUGCUUUCCUUCCUAGUGUGCCUUUUCCUGUCAGCCUACCCUCAUACCGAGAUUCAGGAACACCAAUCGGCUUAAGGUCAGGAAGAAAGUCCACACAAAACUCAAUGACCUCCUCUGUUCCAUAGCCCUUGGAGAUGCUUCCUUCUGGCCUAGCACGGUUACGAACAUAUUUCUUUAAGACUUCCAUGGACCUCUCGAAGGGGAACAUAUUGUGUAGAAACACAGGACCGAGAAUUCUAAUCUCUUCGACUAGGUGAACUAGGAGGUGUGUCAUUAUAUUGAAGAAGGAUGGCGGGAACAACAACUCAAAGCUGACCAGACAUUGGACCACAUCAAUCUGUAACCCUGAUAGACUUUCUCGAUCGAUUACCUUCUGAGAAAUUGCAUUGAGGAAUGCACAUACCUUCACAAUUGCCAGGCGAACAUUUUCCGGUAGAAUUCCCCUCAAUGCAACCGGAAGCAAUUGCGUCAUAAGCAUGUGGCAGUCAUGAGACUUUAGGUCUUGGAAUUUUUUGUCUUUCAUAUUUAUGAUUCCCUUUAUAUUCGACGAGAAGUCAGUCAGGACCUUGAUACUGAAAAGGACUUCAAAGAAGAUUUCCUUCUCUUCCUUAGUAAGAGCGUAGCUGGCACGCCCUUGAAACUGCCCUGGAUGCAUGCCAUCUCUUCCUUUAUGACGUUCCUGGUCCUCCCGUGCUUCCGGUGUAUCUUUUGACUUCCCAUACAAGCCCAGGAAGCCUUGAAUAUUCACGCAGAGAUUCUUCGUCAGGUGCAUCACGUCGAUUGCCGAGCGGACCUCAUGGACUUCCCAGUAGGGUAGCUCCCAAAAUAUAGAUUUCUUCUUCCACAUGGGUACGCGCUUAUCAGGGCCGUUAGGAACAGGUUGGCUGCCAGGACCCUUUCCAAAGAUUACUUUUAAAUCUUUGACCAUAUCAAAUACUUCAGCACCAGUACGGAUGACAGGCUUCCCCCGGGGUUCUGCCUUGCCAUUGAAAUGNNNNNNNNNNAGACCCUUUCCAAAGGUUACUUUUAAAUCUUUGACCAUAUCAAAUACUUCAGCACGAGUACGGAUGACAGGCUUCCCCCGGGGUUCUGCCUUGCCAUUGAAAUGCUUGACUUUUUUCUUUAAGGGAUGCUUGGGCGGAAGAAAACAACGAUUGUACGGAUACACAUUCUUCCUACAGUUGUCGAGAUAUAUACUUUCUGUCUGAUCCAAACAGUGCGUGCAUGCAUUGUAUCCCUUGUUUAACUGUCCUGAAAUGUUACUAAGAGCAGGCCAAUCAUUGAUGGUUACGAAAAGCAACUCUCGAAGGUCAAAUUCCUCUUGUUUGUGCUCGUCCCACACACGUACACCUGGUUCGGCCCACAGCUGUAAAAGUUGAUCAACUAAUGGCCUUAGGUACACAUCAAUAUCGUUGCCGGGUUGCUUUAGACCUUGUAUAAGCACUGGCAUCAUAAUAAACUUCCGCUUCAUGCACAACCAAGGAGGAAGGUUGUAGAUACAUAGAGUAAUGGACCAGGUGUUGUGACUGCAACUCUGCUCCCCAAAAGGAUUCAUGCCAUCUGUACUCAGACCUAACCAUAAGUUCCUUGCGUCUGCUGCAAAUCUCGGGAACUCUCUCUUGAUUUUUCUCCACUGCCGACCAUCAGCGGUGUGCCUCAACUUAUCGUCUUUCAUACAAUCUUCCAUGUGCCAUCGCAACAACUUCGCAUGAUCUUUAUUUCUGAACAGACGUUUCAACCGUGGUAUUAUAGGAGCAUACCACAUCCCCUGGCAGGAACCGUCUUCCUGGGUGGCUCGCCCUCAAUAUCACCAGGGUCAUCUUUUCUGAUCUUAUACCGCAAUGCAGUCUAUACCGGGCAUUUAUCCAUAUUCUCGUACUUCUCACCUCGGUAGAGGAUGCAUUCAUUAGGGCAUGCAUGUAUCUUCUGCACGUCUAAUCCUAGAGGGCAGACAAGCUUCUUUGCUUCGUACGUGCUGGCGGGCAAUUCGUUCUUUCUUGGAAGCAUCUUCUUCAUCAGUACCAGCAACUUUUCGAAUGACGAGUCAGUCACACCGGUCUCUGUCUUCCACUUCAGCAAUUCCAGUGUGCUACCCAGCUUCUUCUGGCCAUCUUCACAAGUUGGGUACAACAAUUUGUUGUGGUCCUGUAACAUCUGCUCGAACUGCAACCUCUCCUUUUCUAUGUCGCAACCUCGCCGUGCAUCAGAAAUGACCCGGCCAAGAUCAUCAGCGGGCUCAUCUGGUUCCCGUUCUUCAUCCUGAUCUUCUUCUUCAUUGUCUUGCAUUGCGGUAUCAGCAUACUCAGGGAACAUAGAUCGGUAGUUGUCAUCAUCGUUCUCUUCUUCUUCAUCGUCGCCUUCCAUCAUAACCCCUCUUUCUCCGUGCUUGGUCCAAACAUUAUAGCCCGACAUAAAACCGGACCGAAGCAGGUGGCUCUGAAUGACUCUUGAGGAAGUGUAAUCCUUCCAAUUCGACAUUCAACACAUGGACAAAACAUAUAGCCACCACCAUGCUUGUUCGCAUUGGCUGCAUCUCGAAAAGAAUGCACGCCUUCUCUGUAAGCGGCUGUGCGUCGAUCACCGUACAUCCAUGGAUGGCUCAUCUCUGCGUUAUACGACAGUAUAUCAAAUACAAUCACGAUCCUAAAAAUUAGUACCGCACGAUCUAAACGAGGAAAUAUAGUUGCUAACCUUUUAGAAUAAGUAGAAAUAAAGAGGAAGAGGUUUAAGCGUGGCUUGGGCAUCUCAUAUCGUAGUUGUAUUCGGUGAACUGAAGCGGCAUCGCUCUAACACACAUUUCAACAAACACCUCUAGUGCAUAAAAAAAAGUGGAGAGCAAGCACCCACCCACAAUCCUCCAUCCAAUAAAAAUGCAACGAAGAGGGGAGAGGGGGGCUGUGCUAUAUAUAGGCAGAGGACUUUAGUCCCGGUUUGAGACACAAACCGGGACUAAAGGUGGCGCACAUGCGGGCUGCCCACCGCGUAGCCCUUUACUCCCGGCUUGGGACACGAACCGGGACUAAAGGCUCCUUACGGGCCGGGACUAAAGCCUCGAGGGAGGAUAUGAGAAUUGGGGCGACGUAGCCGGGCCUUUAGUUCCGGCCCAGAGGCAGGCCGGGACUAAAGGGUACAGGCCAAAGGCCCGGUUUCUACUAGUGUAUGUGUCCAGCCCUGCCAACGAGCCAGUAUAAUACACCAGAGUACGAAAGAUAUAAUAUACACAUGAAAUCAAAACCAUACAGCUCUUAUAUGUGUCUCCCGUGACCGUGAUGAUCAGGGUAUGCCAGCCCCUAGAGCUUCCAUGCCAGAUAUAUUCCUUUGUCCGAUGCUAUGCUCCAGAUUAUUAUGGCCACACUUGUAAACCAAUCAAAUAUUUAUAUGCAAACAGCAGACAACAUGCAUAUAGGAGUAUCUUCUUGGAAACUAAAGGAAACUCUCAUGGCACAGCUCCCAGGAUUUUGUUCAUUAGUGAAGAGCAGAUUAAGCUCCAAUGAUGAAUGUCACACACGUAACAUGCCAGUACAAUAAUGGUUGCACAUGAGUUUUGGAAACUACCACGGCAAGAAUGAAACUAAUUACCUCGAUUGAUAAUGACAUGAACGAGGCACUUGCACACCACACCCGGUCUAUAAGUACCACCCCCAAACAACCCAAGAAAACCAUCCCAAGCUACCAUAGCCUACAAGCUUAAUUAGCCAUAUACCAGCACGAUCCAUCAGUAGCAAUGGCGCCUUCCAAGCUCGCCUUCUUCCUCGCUCUGAACCUGGUCCUCCUUGCCGCCGUGCAGGGCUGCGGUCCCUACUGCCCACCGGUCNNNNNNNNNNGGCGCCCUCCAAGCUCGCCCUCUUCCUCGCCCUGAACCUGGUCCUCCUUGCCGCUGUGCAGGGCUGCGGCCCCUACUGCCCACCGGUCGUCCCCACCCCGCCGAUCCUCCCACCACCCGUGCCGUCGACCGACGGAGGCAGCUGCUCGAUCAACACGCUGAAGCUGGGCGUGUGCACCAACGUGCUGAACCUGCUGAAGCUUAAGAUUGGCGUGCCGGCGAACGAACAGUGCUGCCCACUCCUGGGCGGGCUCGCCNNNNNNNNNNGCUGCUCGAUCAACACGUUGAAGCUGGGCGUGUGCGCCAACGUGCUGAACCUGCUGAAGCUCAAGAUCGGCGUGCCGGCGAACGAGCAGUGCUGCCCACUCCUGGGCGGGCUCGCCGACCUCGACGCCGCGGUGUGCCUCUGCACCGCCAUCAGGGCCAACAUCCUCGGCAUCAAGCUCAACGUCCCCAUCGACCUGACCCUCCUCCUCAACCAGUGCGGCAAGAAGUGCCCAACCAACUUCACCUGCCCCAUCUGAUGCAUCCAUCCAUUGCAUGGGCUCCCUCGCUCGUGCAUGCAUGCUUGAUAAGCUCGUGAUUGAUCAUCAGGGUCAUUGUAUCCCGUUAUGGUAUCUAAAUGCACGAUUUGCAUAUUUGUAAAAGGAUAUACAUACUUGUACACGCACCUUGGAAUAUAAAAUUUGUUCAAGUUGGGGUUUUCUCUCUUCCCUCUCGGCUGGAACCCUAGCCCUCCUCGUCAAGAGAAAAGAUCAUCCUAGUGUAUGUAGCUUAGUAAAUAUACCCUAGCCCUCCUCGGCACAAAAAAUCUUAUGUAACUUAGGAACAAGGCAGGAUCUAAGAAUCAUUUUUNNNNNNNNNNCAACACGUUGAAACUGGGCGUGUGCGCCAACGUGCUGAACCUGCUGAAGCUCACUCCUGGGCGGGCUCACCGACCUCGACGCUGCCGUGUGCCUCUGCACCGCCAUCAGGGCCAACAUCCUCGGCAUCAAGCUCAAUGUCCCCAUCGACCUCACCCUCCUACUCAACCAGUGCGGCAAGAAGUGCCCCGCCAACUUCACCUGCCCCAUCUGAUCCAUCUAUCCAUGGAUUUACUCGUAGCUAUAUAUUGCAUGUCAUACGCGCGCACCAUAUGUCAGGACUUUGCAUGGGCUCCCUCGCUCGUGCAUGCAUGCUUGAUAAGCUCGUGAUNNNNNNNNNNNNNNNNNNNNNNNNNNNNNNNNNNNNNNNNNNNNNNNNNNNNNNNNNNNNNNNNNNNNNNNNNNNNNNNNNNNNNNNNNNNNNNNNNNNNNNNNNNNNNNNNNNNNNNNNNNNNNNNNNNNNNNNNNNNNNNNNNNNNNNNNNNNNNNNNNCUACUUGUACACGUACCUUGGAAUAUAAAGUUUGUUCAAGUUGGGUUAACUCGACUCGUGAUAUGCCAGCUUGAGUUGUAUAUUCAUGCAUGAUUGCAUCAAUCAUGAUCAGAUCCACAUCUUUCCACAUGCAUUAGCUACAUCUUCUUUCUUUCUUUUUUGCCUAGAUGAUCGUUGCUAAAACUAAAUAUCAUGCUGAAGAUUUUCUUCUCUCCAAUGCCACCUUUUUACAUCUUGACGUUCUAGCUGAUCCAUAAAAAAUUCAAGGAUGCAUGCAUCGUACUCCUAUAUGGUAGAUGUCAUCUACCUUUGCGGCUUUUUUUAUGCAAUUGCACAUGCUCAUAGCUCACAUACACGUACAUACACUCACCUAUAUAAACUUAUGCACGCAUCCUAUAUCUACGAGCGCCUCCGAGAUAUUGAGUCACCACAACAUUUGAGAUUGACAAAGUCGUCAGAAACGUUUCAUGAUAGAUGGAAAUAUCUUCUUUCACUGAUCGAACAUCGCCAUGUGACAUUUGUGGUAAGCAGUUCAAACUUAUUAAGGAAAGAAUUGAAUAAAUCUAGAAAAUUUUGAGCAUUGGUGUCAAGUCUAACUGGUGGGCUGAUUCCACCGCAAGUAACCUAACUAUUUAUGCUAUGCUCAAUUCGCUACUUAAGUUAGCAUAAUAUAUUCUAUAGUGAAUAUGUACAAGUCAUCCAUUGUUGUAUCUUGUUGUGGCAUCUAACAGACUCACAUGUUCAUAGAAGGACACAAAGAAUAAUAAAAAGAGUGAAUUCUGGUUUUUACCCCCUAUUUUAACAUUUUUGACACUAGUUACCCGAUUUCAAGUCUAGCAUGUUCCUGGGCGGGCUCGCCGACCUCGACGCCGCCAUGUGCCUCUGUACCGCCAUCAGGGCCAACAUCCUCGGCAUCAAGCUCAACGUCCCCAUCNNNNNNNNNNNNNNNNNNNNNNNNNNNNNNNNNNNNNNNNNNNNNNNNNNNNNNNNNNNNNNNNNNNNNNNNNNNNNNNNNNNNNNNNNNNNNNNNNNNNNNNNNNNNNNNNNNNNNNNNNNNNNNNNNNNNNNNNNNNNNNNNNNNUCCCAUGUUGAUAAACGUUGAUGCUGCAGUCUUCUCACAAUCAUCACGAAUGGGAGUGGGCAUAGUAAUAAGAAGUCACCUAGGAGGCUAGGACUACUACUAGCAACCAAAACAAGGUAUGUGGACCAAGUGGUUAACCUUGAACUCGCGGAGGCCUGUCCCAUGUGAUCCCAUGUUACAGUUCAUAUGUCAGGCGUUUGCAUGGGCUCCCUCGCUCGUGCAUGCAUGCUUGAUAAGAUUGUGAUUGAUCAAUGUCAAUGUAUCACGUUAUGGUAUCUAAAUGCAUGAUUUGCAU